UCAUGGACUUUUAACCAUUUGUAUGGUAUC
rnacentral:piRNA from 1 species